UUAGUCCCUCUUUCUGGUAAUUGUCCCUCUUUUAUGCCACCCCUUUCCCCCCAACUUUCUCAUCAGCACAAACCCACAUAUAAGAAUUAAGACCCAAGUCGGAUUGGCGCAAAUACUAACAAAAACAGAGAUGGGUUUUAAAGAAGAUAGAAGAACCAGAAUUCUGAGAUGGAUCAAAACUCUCUUCUUCUUGAUCUCUAUGCUCAUUUCUCUUCUCCUUUUUUCUGCACCAAUUCUUCUUGUCAUCGCUGAUACCCUUCUCCCUUCUGCUCUCUUAUCUGCUUCUCUUUCCCCUGCUUCUCUCUCUAUUCGAACUCUUUCUUCUCAUUUAAGUAACUACGAUUUCCGCUAUUCCCUCAUCGAUAUCCCCCUCAUCUCCAUCAUUAGGUCUGCCCUCAUUUUAUGUGUUUAUAGCUUGUGUGAUGGUCCAAGGCUAUCAAGAGGGCCAUAUUUGGGAAUUGCCACUAUGUGUUCGAUUUCAUCCUUGGUGUUUGUGUCGUUGAAGGCUUCAUAUGUGUUUGGGAAUAGUUCGAACAUAAAUAGAGGAGGGUAUGUUCGAGCAAUGGAGAUGGCACUGUUCGUGUGCUCGUUUGCACUAGCCGUGGCACAUGUAGGGGUGGCUUAUAGAAUUAGCUGCAGAGAAAGAAGAAAACUUCUCCUCUACAAAAUUGAUGUUGAAGCUGUUUCGGCAUGCAAGACAGGAUCAUUUUCAAGAAAACCUAAAUUAGUGCAAGAAGAAAGAGUGAAGUGAAAAAAAGAAAAAGAAAAAAGAAAAAAAGAGUCCAUAGGCACAUGAAAUUAAUUCUAGUUCCUUUGGACCUUUAUCCAGUUUUCCGAGAGCUAGGUUUCAGAUUUAUCCAAAGGAGAUCUACAGCCUGAUUGGUCAAGGAAUUACUAAUAAAGAUUGAAGGCCAUUUGACGUACCGGAAUAUU